AUUUAUUUGUUUUAUUAGUGGGUAUAGCACUGAAUAUCUAAUAAUAAUAUUAGAAAGGAGUAUGAAAGUACUUACUUUGGAUAUUUAAUCUCAGAAUAACUAAUUAAAUGAAAGAAAUAAGUUAUCAGACUUAUUGCGAUAAGGUGGUAAGUCGAAAGGGAAACAGCCCAGAAUAAUAUAUAAAGUUCCAAAAUUGUUAUUAAGUGAAAUAAAAG
rnacentral:rRNA from 1 species